rnacentral:rRNA from 1 species
UUAUUUGAGAGUUUGAUCCUGGCUCAGGAUGAACGCUGGCGGCGUGCCUAACACAUGCAAGUUGAGCGAUUUACUUCGGUAAAGAGCGGCGGACGGGUGAGUAACGCGUGGGUAACCUACCCUGUACACACGGAUAACAUACCGAAAGGUAUGCUAAUACG